CAGCCGCCACGGGAAUACGAAGGGUGCAAGCGUUACUCGGAAUUACUGGGCGUAAAGCGUGUGUAGGUGGUUGUUUAAGUCUGUCGUGAAAGCCCUGGGCUCAACCUGGGAAUUGCGAUGGAUACUGGGCGACUAGAGUGCGGUAGAGGAUAGUGGAAUUUCCGGUGUAGCAGUGAAAUGCGUAGAGAUCGGAAGGAACAUCUGUGGCGAAGGCGACUAUCUGGGCCAACACUGACACUGAGGCACGAAAGCGUGGGGAGCAAACAGGAUUAGAUACCCCGGUAGUCCCUGUCUCUUAUAC
rnacentral:rRNA from 1 species